rnacentral:rRNA from 1 species
UACGUAGGGGGCAAGCGUUGUCCGGAAUUAUUGGGCGUAAAGGGCUCGUAGGCGGUUUGUCGCGUCGGGAGUGAAAACCCAGGGCUUAACCCUGGGCUGACUUCCGAUACGGGCAGAUUAGAGGUAUGCAGGGGAGAACGGAAUUCCUGGUGUAGCGGUGAAAUGCGCAGAUAUCAGGAGGAACACCGGUGGCGAAGGCGGGUCUCUGGGCCGAUACUGACGCUGAGGAGCGAAAGCGUGGGGAGCGAACAGG